UCGGUACCAAAAGAAAUGGGCGAGAUUGGAAAAUAGGGAGUUGGCACCGGUUCCAACCAAAACCGGUGCCAACUCAUUUAAUUAGCACCGGUUCAAACCGGUGGCAACCUUAAAAAAAAAAAGAAAAAAGAAAAAUAAAAAAAAAGCAAUAGAGUUGGCACUGGUUCGCCUUAAACCGGUGCCAAUUAUAGUAAUCCAUUUCCUUGCUCUUUCCUCUUCUUUCUCAUCUAAUCUGCCUCUCUCUCUCCUCCAUUGUAGCGUACUCGAAUUUCUCCAUUGAAGGGGCUUCUGAGCUUUCCUAACACUUUGUCUCUCUCCUUCGAUCUCCUUUUCCAUAACCGUCACUUUCCCUUUCCUUUCUUCUCUCUUUCGAUCUCCUUCUCCUUCUCCUUCUUUCUUUCUACAAUAUUGGAGGUUAGGGUUUCUGGGUGCGUCUAUUUGAAUCAAUUCAAUGUGCGUGCGUCUUCAACAAAAAUAAAUUCGAAUCAAUUUCGAACAUAAAAUCAGAAAUUCGAGAAAUUAAUUCCAAUUUCAGCUCUAGAAAUGAAGUAUUGUGGUGGAAGAAGAAAAAGAGGUGUUUGUUUGGCUUCUUCAUCACAGAAUUCAAGUAAUGAUGUUGCACGAAAAAGGUUUUCUGUUUUAUUUCCUUAUCUAUGUCUUAGAGUUUCUGGUAGCACCGUAGCAGCACCUCGGUCGUUAUAAAUAGGAUUUUGAAGACUUAAAAUCAAUGUUGGUACUUGGUACCAUAUAGAUACUAUACAAUUCUAUUGAUUGCAGAGUUUAUCUUGGGAUUAGUAUGGGUAACUACUCUAUUUCUCCUGUUUUUGCUGUUUGAAAUUUGCUGUGGUAAUAUGAAUUUAGAUGUUAAUUUGCAUAAAAUUUGUGAGAACACAGGAUACGAUAAUUUAGCGAAAGUUGAGGUUGAAGAUAUUGAAAACGAAGUAAAUUCUGCUGUUAUUUGCUACUUCCUUAACGCUAAUCAUCUAAAUGUGUUUGAAAAUUAUAUUAAAUGCGUAUGGGUAGAUGGGGGAGUUGCAAUCUUGGCAACUUUCUUCUUUCAAGGGAGAAUUAUAUUUUUCGUGAAUUAAGUCUUUGAUAGAAUCAUACUUCGCAUAUCGCAUUGAAGAAAUGAUCAACAAUAUACCCUUGAUAAUCUGAUAUACCAACUCAGGAUUAUUAACUUUUAUUUCCUCUUUAAUAACUACAGGUGUAGGUUAAAUCAAUUGUUAUAUGAUUUCUACUUGUUAAUCCACAUGUUUUAAAUAGAAAUGCUUUAAUUGACUUUUACCCUCAAAUAGAUUUCUACCAGUCUGUUCAGCUUUGAUUCAUGCCCUGAGUCUGUCUUUUCUAUCUGCUAGGUUGAGUUGCUAUUUCUCUAGCUCUUGUUUUGUCUAUUGUGUGCUGCUGCAGGCUGUAUUCUACUGUGAUGCUGAGCUAGUUAGUGUGUUGGGGUUGUUUGAUUGUUCCUGUGCCCGCUCAGAGCUUCUGCUUUUUCUGCUGUGUUUUAAUUGGAAAUUAAUUAUUUGUUGGAUCAAUGAUUUUAGUUCUGUGUUAUUGUUGUUUCUGGUUGACUGCUAGCUUAUCAGGUUAAGUGGCUUAUUUGAUAAAGUCAUAGACUUGUAGUGGUUGUAAUCAAGACCUGAGAUCGAGUUAGACUACAUCAUUAUCUAGAGUUAAUGGGUAUUUGCUGUUAUGUUUAGCUAGAUGAUGGUGUGCUUGUUAUUCUACUAUUUCGUAAAAUAUUAGUUUUGUGAAUUGAUAGUAUUUGGCUUUUGUUUGAUUUUUUGAUAUUUGGCUAAUGAUUAGAUAUUGUUGAUCAUUUAAUUGCUUAUUGAUGUUGUUUGUUUUUUAUUACAGAACCUUCCCGUUUGGUUGAUGUACCAAGGGAUAGCAACAUAACUGGUUAAAGAAUCGUAUCUCAAAGCAUAAUAAGUUUCUGCAUCAUAUGCGAGUUGAACAUAUGGAUCUAUCGCCACCCAUGAUCAUUUCUGGAAAUCAGUUUACAAUGAUCAGUCAACAUUAAGUAGCUACAAGGGAAUACUUAGAAGCGUAUAAGCAAAUGCCAAAUUCCCCACUGACCAAUCUCUGUGUCGGGACAACCUUAAUCAAUUUAGCCCUUGGACAUAGACUUCAAAACAAUCAUCAGUGUGUUGCACAAGGCUUAGCUUUCCUUUACAACAAUCUGCGACUUUGUGAAAAUAGCCAGGAAGCCUUGUAUAAUAUAGCUCGUACAUUCCACCACGCAGGACUUCUGACAUUUCAGGAAGUCUUUUUGGGCUGCUGUUUUUUGUUUUGUUCUCCGUAGUUUUGGGUUUGUGUUAGGUGUUGUCUCGGUCCCUGUUUUAACUGUAAUGCAAGAAAGUUCGAUCAGAGAUAAGUAUGGAUUAUUUAAUUUUUUUUGGACGAAAAUUGUAAUAUUACAGCCUUU